AGGGGGGGGGGGGGGGGGUUAGAGGCAGUGACAGCGGUUCAAACUGAGACAACUCUCAGGAGUGCUUAUCACACAACCAUUACAAAAAAAAUAGAUCAAACAUCUCAAGUUAGGUGUAACAAUAAAAAAUGAGUAUAUCAAUGUAUAAAAAAUUUUUUUUUUGGUUUCUAAUUUUGUAUUAAACACUUUUCAUUUCUUAUGUUCUUUCAAAUAAAUUUUUAACAUCUGAAGCUAAAUCGGAGAAAUGGUGGCUGAAUGGUAAGGUCCUUGGCUUCCAAACUGAGAGGUCCCAGGUUUGAAUCUUGGUGAAGACUGGGAUUUAAAAUUCAGUCUUUUUAGAAAGCUCUAAGUAAAAUGGGUUACUGCUGAGUUGGGUAAAGAAAGGGUGGCUGGCCACAUGAAACCCUUGUUAAGCCUCAUAGAUCAAAAGGUCUGAAAUGGAUACUUUUAAAAAAAAUAUGUAAGCUAAAUUUACUUGUACACUUCUAUUAUACAAUAACUACAUGCUUCAUUUGUUACUUUUUAAGUUGAAUCUAUUUGUACACUUCUAUUAUUGUCAAUUAGGUUUAAAACUGGUAUGUACAUGUCUAUUUAUAUUAAAUCAAUUCCUCUAACAAUUGUUCUUGUCUAGUCUUGCACAUAGAAUUUCUUUUCAAUUGAAUAAAAUAUUACAAA